UGGGAUAUAACUUAGUGGUAAGGUACACACCUCAAAUGUGUGAGGGUCUAGGUUCCAUCCCCAGCACCACAA
rnacentral:tRNA from 1 species